rnacentral:snRNA from 1 species
GUGCUCACUUCAGCGGCACAUAUACUAAAAUUGGAACAAUAUAGAGAAGAUUAACAUGGCCCCUGCACAAGGAUGACAUGCAAAUUCAUGAAGCAUUCCAUACUUUU